UGGGGAGCAAUGGCAGGAGAUCAGAGAAGGAGAAGCAGUGAGGUGGAUCACUCCUUGAUUUUCCUGGCUUCUUCCCUGCAGAAUUGCUGUGGGUUGGCUGCAACCCUGAACCAGAGGUCACAGCUCUUGUCAGAUAUGGUCUUCCCCACCAACCCCUCACCCUCCAGGGUCUGGCUGUGCUCUUGCUUGUUUUAGAACAUUGUGCUACUUCCGAUAAUUUCCCUAUAUUCUGUCCACCCACUCAGAUUGCACCAACCUAAGUGUAUCACUCAUUUCUUCCAGAGUCCUGACUGAUACAUGAGUACAGAAUUCAAAGGGAAGGUUCAGGCUGGAGAGGUAUUUUGUGAAUCGCCUGUUUAUAGAUGUAGUAGAAGCUGAUGUGGAUGAGCAGUGAGAAGAAAGACCUGACGAUGGGAACCUCUGGGGACUCCCUUGGAUCCAUUAAAGAGGGACUACACACCUGUUCUUGAUCAUCCACCAUGGCAUCACACAGCAAGAAAGGGGCAAUUCACUACAGGGAAAUCAGAAUGAUACUGGGAGAAUGGAUGCUGGAUGGCUGGACCCAACACAUACACACACACCCCUACAUACUUAUGCAUGCAUAUCUACAGGUCGUGGAUCUGCUCUGCCUGUCCUCCA